rnacentral:misc_RNA from 1 species
GAUGAAGAACGUAGCGAAAUGCGAUAAGUAAUGUGAAUUGCAGAAUUCAGUGAAUCAUCGAAUCUUUGAACGCACAUUGAGCCCGCCAGUAUUCUGGCGGGCAUGCCUGUUCGAGCGUCAUUUCAACCAUCAAGCCCCAGGCUUGUGUUGGGGACCUGCGGCUGCCGCAGGCCCUGAAAACCAGUGGCGGGCUCGCUGUCACACCGGGCGUAGUAGAUUUUAUCUCGCUCAGGGCGUGCUGCGGGUUCCGGCCGUUAAAAAGCCUUUUUUACCCAAGGUUGACCUCGGAUCAGGUAGGAAGACCCGCUGAACUUAAGCAUAUCAAUAAGCGGAGGA